GACGAACGCUGGCGGCGUGCCUAAUACAUGCAAGUAGAACGCUGAAGGAGGAGCUUGCUCUUCUGGAUGAGUUGCGAACGGGUGAGUAACGCGUAGGUAACCUGCCUGGUAGCGGGGGAUAACUAUUGGAAACGAUAGCUAAUACCGCAUAACAGUAGAUGUUGCAUGACAUUUACUUAAAAGGUGCAAUUGCAUCACUACCAGAUGGACCUGCGUUGUAUUAGCUAGUUGGUGGGGGAACGGCUCACCAAGGCGACGAUACAUAGCCGACCUGAGAGGGGUGUCGGCCCAAACGGGACGGAGACACGGCCCAGAACCCUACGGGAGGCAGCAGGAGGGAAUCUUUGGCAAUGGACGGAAGGCUGAACGAGGAACGCCGCGUGAGUGAAGGAGGUUUUCGGAUCGUAAAGAUCUGUUGUAAGGGAAGAAAGAGAGUGAGAGUGGAAAGUGCACACUGUGACGGUAUCUUACCAGAAAGGGACGGCUAACUACGUG
rnacentral:rRNA from 1 species